rnacentral:lncRNA from 1 species
UGGUUGUACAAUGAAAAGCAAAACAUAAAUUGAAAACGAAAUCCAUUACAUUUAUGUCGAAGUACACAUAAAAUUAAGACAUAGACUCAUACAUUUAAAACAUGAGGAAGUUGAUUGAAAUAAAACAUGAGGAAGCGGAAAUGAAUAUGCAAGAAGCGGAAGUGAAUCAUUGCGAUUGUUUUGGUAAAAAGCGGGAAAAUUGCGUUUAUGUUGUCAGGAAUAAAUUCUGCUUUUAUGGUACUAGUUUUAUAAAAACAUGGACGGAAAUAGCCAGGCACGACAAGGAAGGCCAACAAAUGUUCAGGAUAUUGUACAAUCUGUUUUAAGCGCCAUAACAAAUCUACCACAUUCAUAGAAAAAGGGCUGUUCGUUGACGCUUUUCACCUUGACAAAAAGUGGGACGAGGCUCGACUGUACAGGGAAUUGUCCUCGCUGUUUGAAAGAGUGCUAGAUGGUGAACAAGGUCAUGAGAUCGGGUGAGUACUGUAAAGUUACAAUACAAUACACUGAUACAUAAUAGCCGUUUUUACACUAGAGACACAUAAUAGAGAGGCAUUCUGCGUCUGGACGAACUUGGGCUUGUUUAUUUUAGUAUUUCAACUUUUAUUUUAGUAUUUCAACUUUUUAUUUUUGUUUCAACUUUUUAUUUUUGUGUUUCAACUUUUUAUUUUUGUGUUUCAACUUUUUAUUUUUCUGUUUCAACUUUUUAUUUUUCUGUUUCAACUUUUUAUUUUUCUGUUUCAACUUUCUAUUUUUAGUGUUUCAACUUUUUAUUUUUUGUGUUUCAAGUUUUUAUUUUUGUGUUUCACCUUUUUAUUUUAGUGUUUCAACUUUUUAUUUUUAGUGUUUCUACUUUUUAUUUUUUGUUUUUCAACAUUUUAUUUUUUUGUUUUUCAACUAUUUAUUUUUGUG